GACGAUUACGUUCCAGGGAUUCCCCUAUGAUUCCUCAUUUACAUACCCCAUUAUACAUAUUUGACUUAUCACACUGCUACGACAUUACAUCGUGUAACAAAUUUAUUAAGUUUAUUGUGAUACUCUUGGCAUGUCAGUUAAAUAAAAAUAAUUGGUUGAUUGUAAGCGAAUUGAAAAAGACUGCGUUGGCCGGGAAUCGAACCCGGAUCUACUGCUUGGAAGGCAGCAAUGCUAGCCUUUACACCACCAACGCCCAUGUACUCUGGUUGAUA